ACCGCUUUUCGUAAGAUCUUCAAAGUUAAGCAAUGUCGAGCCUGGUCAGUACCUAGAUGAGUGACCGCUUGGAAAUAUCAGGUGCUGUAAG